UGGUCUGUAGCCAAGCGGUAAGGCAACGGAUUUUGAUUCCGUGAUACGUUGGUUCGAAUCCAACUAGACCAG
rfam:Listeria bacteriophage P100, complete genome.